UACAAGAUGGUCGAGAUAGACAUUAAACUGUAAAUUUAAAAACGGGUAUAUCCCUCUUGUGC
rnacentral:tRNA from 2 species